UUACAGCUGUGAUUGUGGGUGGUUGUUGUGUGCAAUUCGAUCGGGAGUUGCUAAUUUUGUUCACCUGUAAAACCUGUAAGUUGGAUGAAAUCAAAUUGUUACCAUGAGCGGUUCGAAUGUGGGAGCUACUAGCUGUGGAUGCGGGCAAGAAUGCAAUUGCACAAGCAUUGCUAACGAAAAUGCCAAACAAUUACAUACUUUAAAAAAUUUGAUACUAGAUGCAAAUAUGAAAUUAGACGAGCUUAUGGAAAUGCAACUAAAUCAACAAAUCCAGCCUCGGCCAAUUAUUGAAAAUGUGGUGCCGGAAGAAGUAAUUGAAGAAGCUUUCGCGUUAAUUUCAUCCAAAGUAGAUUUGGACAAGCUCGAGCAGGAUUUGGUGGUGACAGAGCAUUUCCGAUCGAUUAAAUCAGGUCUCAUGAAAAGGAUCAAGUCGGUAGGGAUUAAAGCAAGGCUGCAUGACGCUCUGUAUCUAGUUUUUAAUAGAAUUUUUGUAUCUGAGUGCUCUUGGAGCGGAAUCGGUCGCAGCGGACCUAAAAUUGAAUUUAGGAAAUAUGUACAUGUUUUAAAGCUAUUUAAGGAAAUUUCAGGGAGCAGAGAUUAUUCGGAAGUAGAGAAAUUUUUCAGUACAAAGUUACGAAAUGCAGGAACAGCAGCAAAAAGGACCGGAGUGGUCAAAAGUGUUAGCCGAGGGCAAUACUCGAAAAAAAAGAAAUGUAAUAUUCAAAAGAAUUAUAUAUUAAAUAGUACUUAAUGUAGUUAUGGGUAAAAAGUAUGUUGAAAUUAAUUUUGAUGGUGUAGAUAAAGAAUUUGUGAAAUGUUAACUAUUUUAAGUAAUACUUAAGUUGUGCACUGGCUGUGCAUUCUUUAAUUCACAGUUGCGAACAGUUAAGUUUGGUGUUGCAAGUGAAUAGCGAAUAAUGUUAUGAAUGUGAAGACAAGUAGAAUAAUAAAUGAAUUAUGAAACGUUC